AGUCGCAUGAAAUUCAAACUGCCACACUUGACGACGCGUGAUCUUUGUUUUGUCUUUAUAUAAUACUGUAAGAAGUCAUGUACCACACAUUGUCAAACCUGAAGAAGUGUAUCUUCCUGCAAUCUGGGCUCCAGACCUGGAGAUUGAAGUUCCUAAAGGUUGAUGUUUAUCAAGCUUGUGACCUUAUUGCAUGGUGUUAUUUUUUUACAUUUAUAUAUCUAAUACACAUUUGCACAUCUGUAAACAUAAAUUUAAUAUUUUGUGGGUUAUUUUUAAAUUUUAUUUAACCAGUUGUUGUAUAUUGAAAUCUGUUAUUACAUGUUAUG